GAAAUGAGGGUUUCUGUGAGCGCCGCCUUCGUCUUCUUUCUCUCUCCAAGAGUCAUCAUUGCCAUUUUUUGCAACAAGUCAUGCGUACAACUCUUUUUUCAGGUCUAGCAUGGCUGAUUGAGGCACACGUUUUAACUCCUCCUCUCUUCUACUUUUUCUAUAGAUUACGAUCAAAGAAGGACGAAUCCUUUAAUGGGGUUUGUCUUAUUGCUAGUUUGAAUGGUCGAUUCCUAUUGGUUUUGGUGAAUUUAGGCGAGAUUCAAGAGGAAUCACCCAAAACACUUCAGUCCCACAUCGAUCUUUCACAGUAAAUUUAGGGUUUUGGGAUUCUAUAUAAAGAACCCCACCCUUCACAUUCACACAAACCUUCACAAGCUCAAAAUUUUGAUACCCAUAAGUCUCGAUCAUAUGAGCAAAAAAUAUUCGGUUUACUUAGGGAUUUAGCAUUAGCUUGCUGAAACCUUUACUUAAUCGAGUUUUCCUAGUCUAAAAUUUCCAUUUCUUGUUUUGUGGCUGAGUCUCGGGUAGGGAGCAGGGGAUUCCAACUCCAAUCUCGACAAGUGCUGCACAUAAGAAAGGCCAAGUCUGCACCAGCCAGUUUGUUGGGUCAGAGGCCCAACAUCCUUUUUCUUUCAUCGAGUCCGAGUAGAAAUUCUGAAGGCCUAACUAUGGGUGAAAUUGGUUAACUGCUGGGCUCGGUAGGCCCAUCGCCUUCCCACCUCUUUAUUUUUGUACAGAUAUUUGUGAAUAUAUACUUGUAAAGAAUGAUUGUAAAUGUUGGAACCCAUUUGGUUAGA